GACGAACGCUGGCGGCGUGCUUAACACAUGCAAGUCGAGCGGUAAGGCCCUUUCGGGGGUACACGAGCGGCGAACGGGUGAGUAACACGUGGGUGACCUGCCCUCAGCUCUGGGAUAAGCCCGGGAAACUGGGUCUAAUACCGGAUAUGACUCCAUGACGCAUGUUGUGGGGUGGAAAGCCUUGUGCGGCUGAGGAUGGGCCCGCGGCCUAUCAGCUUGUUGGUGGGGUGAUGGCCACCAAGGCGACGACGGGUAGCCGGCCUGAGAGGGCGACCGGCCACACUGGGACUGAGACACGGCCCAGACUCCGUACGGGAGGCAGCAGGUGGGGAAUCUUGCGCAAUGGGCGAAAGCCUGACGCAGCGACGCCGCGUGAGGGAUGACGGCC
rnacentral:rRNA from 1 species